rnacentral:rRNA from 1 species
GAUGAACGCUAGCGUGAGGCCUAACACAUGCAAGCCGAGCGGUAUUGUUUCUUCGGAAAUGAGAGAGCGGCGUACGGGUGCGGAACACGUGUGCAACCUGCCUUUAUCUGGGGGAUAGCCUUUCGAAAGGAAGAUUAAUACUCCAUAAUAUAUUGAACGGCAUCGUUUAAUAUUGAAAGCUCCGGCGGAUAGAGAUGGGCACGCGCAAGAUUAGCUAGUUGGUGAGGUAACGGCUCACCAAGGCGAUGAUCUUUAGGGGGCCUGAGAGGGUGAUCCCCCACACUGGUACUGAGACACGGACCAGACUCCUACGGGAGGCAGCAGUGAGGAAUAUUGGUCAAUGGGUGCAAGCCUGAACCAGCCAUCCCGCGUGAAGGACGACUGCCCUAUGGGUUGUAAACUUCUUUUGUAUAGGGAUAAACCUACCCUCGUGAGGGUAGCUGAAGGUACUAUACGAAUAAGCACCGGCUAACUCCGUGCCAGCAGCCGCGGUAAUACGGAGGGUGCAAGCGUUAUCCGGAUUUAUUGGGUUUAAAGGGUCCGUAGGCGGACUUAUAAGUCAGUGGUGAAAGCCUGUCGCUUAACGAUAGAACUGCCAUUGAUACUGUAAGUCUUGAGUAUAUUUGAGGUAGCUGGAAUAAGUAGUGUAGCGGUGAAAUGCAUAGAUAUUACUUAGAACACCAAUUGCGAAGGCAGGUUACCAAGAUAUAACUGACGCUGAGGGACGAAAGCGUGGGGAGCGAACAGGAUUAGAUACCCUGGUAGUCCACGCCGUAAACGAUGCUAACUCGUUUUUGGGCUUUAGGGUUCAGAGACCAAGCGAAAGUGAUAAGUUAGCCACCUGGGGAGUACGCUCGCAAGAGUGAAACUCAAAGAAAUUGACGGGGGCCCGCACAAGCGGUGGAUUAUGUGGUUUAAUUCGAUGAUACGCGAGGAACCUUACCAAGACUUAAAUGGGAAUUGACAGCUUUAGAAAUAGAGCUUUCUUCGGACAAUUUUCAAGGUGCUGCAUGGUUGUCGUCAGCUCGUGCCGUGAGGUGUUAGGUUAAGUCCUGCAACGAGCGCAACCCCUGUCACUAGUUGCCAUCAUUCAGUUGGGGACUCUAGUGAGACUGCCUACGCAAGUAGAGAGGAAGGUGGGGAUGACGUCAAAUCAUCACGGCCCUUACGUCUUGGGCCACACACGUAAUACAAUGGCCGGUACAGAGGGCAGCUACACAGCGAUGUGAUGCAAAUCUCGAAAGCCGGUCUCAGUUCGGAUUGGAGUCUGCAACUCGACUCUAUGAAGCUGGAAUCGCUAGUAAUCGCGCAUCAGCCAUGGCGCGGUGAAUACGUUCCCGGGCCU